rnacentral:rRNA from 1 species
UACGAAGGGUGCAAGCGUUACUCGGAAUUACUGGGCGUAAAGCGUGCGUAGGUGGUUCGUUAAGUCUGAUGUGAAAGCCCUGGGCUCAACCUGGGAAUGGCAUUGGAAACUGGCGACCUAGAGUGCGGUAGAGGGUAGUGGGAAUUCCCGGUGGUAGCAGUGAAAUGCGUAGAGAUCGGGAGGAACAUCCGUGGCGAAGGCGACUACCUGGACCAGCACUGACACUGAGGCACGAAAGCGUGGGGAGCAAACAGGG